GUAGGUGGCAAGCGUUGUCCGGAAUUAUUGGGCGUAAAGCGCGCGCAGGCGGUUCUUUAAGUCUGAUGUGAAAGCCCACGGCUCAACCGUGGAGGGUCAUUGGAAACUGGAGAACUUGAGUACAGAAGAGGAAAGCGGAAUUCCACGUGUAGCGGUGAAAUGCGUAGAGAUGUGGAGGAACACCAGUGGCGAAGGCGGCUUUCUGGUCUGUAACUGACGCUGAGGCGCGAAAGCGUGGGGAGCAAACAGGAUUAGAUACCCUGGUAGUCCACGCCGUAAACGAUGAGUGCUAAGUGUUAGGGGGGUUUCCGCCCCCCUUAGUGCUGCAGCUAACGCAUUAAGCACUCCGCCCUGGGAGUACGGCCGCAAAGGCUG
rnacentral:rRNA from 1 species